CCUACGGGCCGCACCAGUGGGGAAUAUUGCACAAUGGGCGCAAGCCUGAUGCAGCGACGCCGCGUGAGGGAUGACGGCCUUCGGGUUGUAAACCUCUUUCAGCACAGACGAAGCGCAAGUGACGGUAUGUGCAGAAGAAGGACCGGCCAACUACGUGCCAGCAGCCGCGGUAAUACGUAGGGUCCGAGCGUUGUCCGGAAUUACUGGGCGUAAAGAGCUCGUAGGUGGUUUGUCGCGUUGUUCGUGAAAACUCACAGCUUAACUGUGGACGUGCGGGCGAUACGGGCAGACUUGAGUACUGCAGGGGGGACUGGAAUUCCUGGUGUAGCGGUGGAAUGCGCAGAUAUCAGGAGGAACACCGGUGGCGAAGGCGGGUCUCUGGGCAGUAACUGACGCUGAGGAGCGAAAGCGUGGGGAGCGAACAGGAUUAGAUACCCCUGUAGUC
rnacentral:rRNA from 1 species